GACAGAGGUCUCAAGCGUUAGGCGGAAUCACUGGGCUUAAAGCGUGUGUAGGCGGAUCGUUAAGUGCCUUGUGAAAUCCCACAGCUCAACUGUGGAACUGCUUGGCAUACUGGCGGUCUUGAGCCAUCUAGGGGUCGCUGGAACAAACGGUGGAGCGGUGAAAUGCGUAGAUAUCGUAAGGAAGACCAGUGGCGAAGGCGGGUCUCUGGACAGUUCCUGACGCUGAGGCACGAAGGUCAGGGGAGCAAACGGG
rnacentral:rRNA from 1 species